UCGUGGCGUGUGAAAGCUAUU
ensembl:piRNA 21ur-15003 ncRNA